CCUGGGUGUUACAGCACUCCCCCUCUAGACGAUAUCUCGCCACUUCCGCUGCUUGCGUGAUGCAAUCACUGUUCAGAUUCAAGAAACGCGAAGAAGCCUUGGGGAGCAAGAUACUUCAGGAAACAGCAAAGGGGUUGGAAUAUCUCGCUUGCGAUAUGUGGACCAGCAGUUCAUGCAACAGAGUGCUCUUCAGCAGCUUGGUAUGAUGCAACAACACGCCUGGAGGCCACAGAGGGGGCUGCCUGAAAGCUCUGCUUCUAAUCUUCGUGCUUGGCUUAUUACAGCACUUCCUUCAUCCCUGCCCAAAAGAUUCUGAUAAGAUCAUGCUGGCAAGGCAGAUGAGCUUGACCAGGAGGCAGGUCUCAAACUCGUUUAUAAAUGCGCGGGUGCGUCUCUGGAAGCCCAUGGUAGAAGAGAGUACAAAGAAGAGAUGGGUGAUGCAGAUAUGGGGGCACCUGGUGAAACCCAAACUGAAUAUGGAAUAGUGAAAUUAAGCAGGGACCAAGGGCCUAGUGCGGAAGAAUGCAGCAGCCUCUUCCCAGAUGGCAUCGUUCAAUCUUAUGGGGGCAGCGAUAGGCUCAUGGCAGCCCCCGCUGCAGGACAUCACAUGUCAGAGUUGGGGAGGUUCGGAAGUGGGACUGGGGUAUCCCUGCCAUUGGGGUUGCAGCAUUGCGAGGGAGGCAGCUUAUCCAUUUCCGGUGGAGGUCAUCACGGUUUUGCGGGUAUGGGGGAGGACGAUAUGUACAACCCACCCAGCAGCUUCUUCAGUGGGUACUGAAACGGCCAAUUCCGGCAGCACAGACUCAGCUCCUCCCAUCUAUUACAUGAUUUUGUAGCCUGAUUACUGAUCCACAUGGACUAAUUUUCAGAAAAGGAACCAAGCCUUAGCCCAUUCAUCUUGCUUGCUUGCAAAUGCUGAAAAACAAGAGCCCGAUAGCCCCUGAUUUUCUGAAUAUUGAGAUAUAUCAAACACAGUUGUAACAUUAAAACAUGGAAUCGAUUGGAAUGUUAGUUUUAUUUGUAAA